rnacentral:piRNA from 1 species
UACACAUGGCGAGGGUCACAACAACACACC